rnacentral:rRNA from 1 species
UCGCCCGCCGCGCGCGGCGGGCGGGGCGGGGGCACGGGGGGCCUACGGGAGGCAGCAGUGAGGAAUUUUGCGCAAUGGGAGCAAUCCUGACGCAGCAACGCCGCGUGGGUGAUGAAGGCCUUCGGGUCGUAAAGCCCUGUCAGGUGGGAAGAAUGUCCCGGGACUGAACAGGUUUCGGGAGUGACGGUACCACCAGAGGAAGCACCGGCUAACUCCGUGCCAGCAGCCGCGGUAAUA